GUGGGGAAUCUUCCGCAAUGGACGAAAGUCUGACGGAGCAACGCCGCGUGAGUGAAGAAGGUUUUCGGAUCGUAAAGCUCUUUCGUUAGGGACGAACGUGCUCUUUGUGAAUAAUGAGGAGUAAUGACGGUACCUAAAUAAGAAGCCACGGCUAACUACGUGCCAGCAGCCGCGGUAAUACGUAGGUGGCAAGCGUUGUCCGGAAUUAUUGGGCGUAAAGCGCGCGCAGGCGGGAUAUCAAGUCUGUCUUAAAAGUGCGAGGCUCAACCUCGUGAGGGGACAGAAACUGGGAGUCUUGGGUGUCGGAGAGGAAAGUGGAAUUCCAAGUGUAGCGGUGAAAUGCGUAGAGAUUUGGAAGAACACCAGUGGCGAAGGCGACUUUCUGGACGAUGUCGGACGCUGAGGCGCGAAAGCUAGGGGAGCGAACGGGAUUAGAAACCCGUGUAGUCC
rnacentral:rRNA from 1 species